rnacentral:rRNA from 1 species
CAAUAGCGUAUAUUAAAAUUGUUGCGGUUAAAAAGCUCGUAGUUGGAUUUCUGCUGAGGACGACCGGUCCGCCCUCUGGGUGAGUAUCUGGCUUGGCCUUGGCAUCUUCUUGGAGAGCGUAGCUGCACUUGAUUGUGCGGUGCGGUAUCCAGGAUUUUUACUUUGAGGAAAUUAGAAUGUUUCAAGCAGGCACACGCCUUGAAUACAUUAGCAUGGAAUAAUAAGAUAGGACCUUGGUUAUAUUUUGUUGGUUUCUGAAGCUGAGGUAAUGAUUAAUAGGGAGAGUUGGGGGCAUUCAUAUUUAAUUGUCAGAGGUGAAAUGUUUUGAUUUUUUAAAAGACGGACUACUGCGAAAGCAGUUGCCAAGGAUGUUUUCAUUGAUCAAGAACGAAAGUUAGGGGAUCGAAGAUGAU